CUCCUACAGGAGUCUCCUAGAUGAGCCUCAGUUCCAGCAGUCUCUGGUAGAGGGCGACAAUGAGAAGGUGCCAUACUUCACACAGCUGCGGCCUGCUCCUGCGCUCCCCACACAAACACAACCCCGCUCUGCUACAGGCAACCAGAGUCCUGUAGAAAUGUCCAGUGUGUCCAGUGUCAGUCCAGCAGAGACUUACACAGGAAACUGUAGCACUGCAGACAGACCCAAGAGUGAGUGUGUCCAGGAGUCUCUGAAAGAAGUCCAGGAGGAGAUAAAAAUGAAGGUCCAGGAGUCCAUUCGCAGGUUUCCUGAGUUUAGUGACCUAGUGGAGGACAUUUUGCACAAUACCUUGCAGAACCUAAUGAUGGAGGCUUUCUUGGGUGAGCUGGUGCUGACGACACGACCACGAAUCAUCGCUCUUCCACCUUCAUCUUCCAGGAAAAACAGCCUUGGCUCCAACAGACAGUCCAGGGCCGAAUCGAAUAACAACAGGGAGCAGAUGCGCCCCCUAGUGACCAGCCCAAGCCCCUACAUGUCUACUCAAGCCAUAGUCUCAAACCUGGAGCCUGAGCAGCAAUGAGCCAUUCUGCACUAGUAACUUAACACUCAGUAUCUGUAUGACAUGUUUGAGACUGAUUCGUAUUAAAC
rnacentral:lncRNA from 1 species